UACGUAGGGGGCAAGCGUUGUCCGGAUUUAUUGGGCGUAAAGAGCGUGUAGGCGGUCUGUCGCGUCUGCUGUGAAAAUCCGGGGCUCAACCCCGGACUUGCAGUGGGUACGGGCAGACUAGAGUGUGGUAGGGGAGACUGGAAUUCCUGGUGUAGCGGUGAAAUGCGCAGAUAUCAGGAGGAACACCGAUGGCGAAGGCAGGUCUCUGGGCCACUACUGACGCUAAGAAGCGAAAAGCAUGGGGAGCGAACAGGA
rnacentral:rRNA from 1 species